rnacentral:rRNA from 1 species
UUUUCCCUACGGGGCGCAGCAGUGGGGGAUAUUGCACAAUGGGGGAAACCCUGAUGCAGCGACGCCGCGUGUGGGAAGACGGUCCUCUGGAUUGUAAACCACUGUCCCCAGGGACGAAGAUGACGGUACCUGGGGAGGAAGCUCCGGCUAACUACGUGCCAGCAGCCGCGGUAAUACGUAGGUGGCAAGCGUUGUCCGGAAUUACUGGGUGUAAAGGGAGCGCAGGCGGGAAGCCAAGUCAGCUGUGAAAACUACGGGCUUAACUUGUAGACUGCAGUUGAAACUGGUUUUCUUGAG